GACGAACGCUGGCGGCGUGCCUAAUACAUGCAAGUAGAACGCACAGUUUAUACCGUAGCUUGCUACACCAUAGACUGUGAGUUGCGAACGGGUGAGUAACGCGUAGGUAACCUGCCUGGUAGCGGGGGAUAGCUAUUGGAAACGAUAGCUAAUACCGCAUAAUAUUGAUUAUUGCAUGAUAAUUGAUUGAAAGAUGCUAUUGCAUCACUGCCAGAUGGACCUGCGUUGUAUUAGCUAGUAGGUGAGGUAACGGCUCACCUAGGCGACGAUACAUAGCCGACCUGAGAGGGUGAUCGGCCACACUGGGACUGAGACACGGCCCAGACUCCUACGGGAGGCAGCAGUAGGGAAUCUUCGGCAAUGGACGAAAGUCUGACCGAGCAACGCCGCGGGAGUGAAGAAGGUUUUCGGAUCGUAAAGCUCUGUUGUAAGAGAGGAACGGGUGUGAGAGUGGAAAGUUCACACUGUGACGGUAUCUUACCAGAAAGGGACGGCUAACUACGUG
rnacentral:rRNA from 1 species